rnacentral:tRNA from 1 species
GCGAGUUAGGUUUAAACCAGAGUUGAUUUGAAAUCAUCUUUCUUAUGUUGAGUCAUAAAAUUCGUU